rfam:Parcubacteria bacterium OLB19 TZ19_OD100CONTIG000024, whole genome shotgun sequence.
GGGGAUGCUAGGCAUCGACGGUGAGUCGUCGCCUUUGUGUGCAGUGUGAGAGAUGCUCGAGACUCUCCUAAAACUCGAGCAACUUGUAUGUGCAAAGAAAAGCAUACCAAGUCCUUACGCUAACGCGUUUGGAUUCGCUCCCGCUCUAGCGUAAAUUUACGCGAGCCGUAGUGAUGCUCAACUUCCUUAUGUCUCAUACAGAAGUUUGGGUAGAAUAGCCAUGAGACUAUGGUCAACCAUGCCGUUUUCAUAGUUGAUUUAAUUUCUUAAAACUCGACCUUGUAGUGUUUGGUCUCCCUUAUAGCUACAUAGUUUAAAUUUAAAGCGAGACUACACACUGUAGAUUCACAAAGACACUCUCAUUCGGACGCGGGUUCAAUUCUCGCCAUCUCCACAA